rnacentral:sRNA from 1 species
UGCAUCUGCGGCCAGUGAGGAUGAGAACCUCCGGGGGCAGGAGGUUCGACUCGAGCGAAGCGAGAGAACGUUGCGUCAGCAACGGCCCGCAGGGC